UACGUAGGGGGCUAGCGUUGUCCGGAAUCAUUGGGCGUAAAGCGCGUGUAGGCGGCCCGAUAAGUCCGCUGUGAAAGUCCAGGGCUCAACCCUGGGAUGCCGGUGGAUACUGUCGGGCUCGAGUCCGGAAGAGGCGAGUGGAAUUCCUGGUGUAGCGGUGAAAUGCGCAGAUAUCAGGAAGAACACCCGUGGCGAAGGCGGCUCUCUGGAACGCAACUGACGCUGGGACGCGAAAGCGUGGGGAGCAAACAGG
rnacentral:rRNA from 1 species